rnacentral:rRNA from 1 species
UACGGGGGGGGCAAGCGUUGUUCGGAAUUACUGGGCGUAAAGGGCUCGUAGGUGGCCAACUAAGUCAGACGUGAAAUCCCUCGGCUUAACCGGGGAACUGCGCCUGAUACUGGAUGGCUUGAGUUUGGGAGAGGGACGCGGAAUUCCAGGUGUAGCGGUGAAAUGCGUAGAUAUCUGGAGGAACACCGGUGGCGAAGGCGGCAUCCUGGACCGGUAUUGACGCUGAGGCGCGAAAGCCAGGGGAGCAAACGGG